rnacentral:rRNA from 1 species
AUUGAACGCUGGCGGCAGGCCUAACACAUGCAAGUCGAGCGCGGGGCGGGCGGGUGAGGAAUGUCUGGGAAACUGCCUGUUAGGUAGGGAUAACUCCUGGAAACGGUAGCUAAUACCGCAUACCAUCAGAUGUGGCCAGAUGGGGUUAGCUGGUCGGUGGGGUAAUGGCUCACCUAGGGGACGAUCCCUAGCUGGUCUGAGAGGAUGACCAGCCACACUGGAACUGAGACACGGUCCAGACUCCUACGGGAGGCAGCAGUGGGGAAUAUUGCACAAUGGGCGCAAGCCUGAUGCAGCCAUGCCGCGUGUGUGAAGAAGGCCUUCGGGUUGUAAAGCACUUUCAGCGGGGAGGCGUUACCCGCAGAAGAAGCACCGGCUAACUCCGUGCCAGCCGCCGCGGUAAUUC